GUCCACGCCCUAAACGAUGUCAACUAGUUGUUGGUAGAGUAAAAUCUAUGAGUAACGCAGCUAACGCGUGAAGUUGACCGCCUGGGGAGUACGAUCGCAAGAUUAAAACUCAAAUGAAUUGACGGGGGCCCGCACAAGCGGUGGAUUAUGUGGAUUAAUUCGAUGCAACGCGAAAAACCUUACCUGGCCUUGACAUGUACGGAACUUUCCAGAGAUGGAUUGGUGCUCGAAAGAGAACCGUAACACAGGUGCUGCAUGGCUGUCGU
rnacentral:rRNA from 1 species